rnacentral:rRNA from 1 species
ACUCCUACGGGAGGCAGCAGUGAGGAAUAUUGGUCAAUGGAGGCAACUCUGAACCAGCCAUGCCGCGUGCAGGAAGACAGCCUUAUGGGGUUGUAAACUGUCUUUUUUAUGGGGAAAGAAACCCCGUGGACGUGUCCGGGGGCUGACGGUACCAUAAGAAUAAGGACCGGCUAACUCCGUGCCAGCAGCCGCGGUAAUACGGAGGGUCCAAGCGUUAUCCGGAUUCAUUGGGUUUAAAGGGUGCGUAGGCGGGGUACGUUAAGUCAGUGGUGAAAGCCUGCAGCUUAACUGUAGAAUUGCCAUUGAAACUGAGACUCUUGAGUAUAGAUGGAGUGGCGGAAUACGGCAUGUAGCGGUGAAAUGCAUAGAUAUGCCGUAGACACCGAUCGCGAAGGCAGCUACAC